rnacentral:rRNA from 1 species
GAUGAACGCUGGCGGCGUGCCUAAUACAUGCAAGUCGAGCGAACAGACGAGGAGCUUGCUCCUCUGACGUUAGCGGCGGACGGGUGAGUAACACGUGGAUAACCUACCUAUAAUACUGGGAUAACUUCGGGAAACCGGAGCUAAUACCGGAUAAUAUAUUGAACCGCAUGGUUCAAUAGUGAAAGACGGCUUUGCUGUCACUUAUAGAUGGAUCCGCGCCGCAUUAGCUAGUUGGUAAGGUAACGGCUUACCAAGGCAACGAUGCGUAGCCGACCUGAGAGGGUGAUCGGCCACACUGGAACUGAGACACGGUCCAGACUCCUACGGGAGGCAGCAGUAGGGAAUCUUCGGCAAUGGGCGAAAGCUUGACGGAGCAACACCGCGUGAGUGAUGAAGGUCUUCGGAUCGUAAAGCUCUGUUAUUAGGGAAGAACAAAUGUGGAAGUAAAUAUGCACGUCUUGACGGUACCUAAUCAAAAAGCCACGGCUAACUACGUG